UGAUCCAUAGCUCAGUGGUAGAGCAUUCGCUUGAUAAGCGAAUGGUCGGUGGUUCAAGUCCACCUGGAUUCA
rnacentral:tRNA from 1 species